CGCUGUUGAGCUGAGGAUGUCCAAGGCAAGGUGGCAUCAACCCUUCAAAGUUUCCAGGCUAAGUUAGAUCUCCAGAAGGAACCAUAAGCUGCUGAAUGAGCAGUAGCUCUCAAAGCUUUCCAGCUCGGCAGAGCGAUGGCUUCCACAGGAUGAGCAUAUGAAUGUAUGGAUCCCAGCCGUGCAGAUCCAAACCACAUUAAUGUAUUUACACACAUUGUGGCGGGAGACAACAACCACGUCCUAGAUGUAGCUCCUUCUGCACAAAUACUUGAUCUUUUCUCCAGAUGCAUCAGGUUUUCUCACCAGCUGCUCUAUCUAGUGUAUGAGCUAAUACCCACUCCCACAGGGAGACAGAGGGACUGGUUUGAAAUCACCUACAUUUUGACUUUCUGUAGAGCUCAACACUGCAGUAACCUGCUCUCCUGGGAUUUAAAAUUUGAUGAGCGAGGUCCCUAG
rnacentral:lncRNA from 1 species